UACGUAGGGUGCAAGCGUUAAUCGGAAUUACUGGGCGUAAAGCGUGCGCAGGCGGUUAUGUAAGACAGUUGUGAAAUCCCCGGGCUCAACCUGGGAAUUGCAUCUGUGACUGCAUAGCUAGAGUACGGUAGAGGGGGAUGGAAUUCCGCGUGUAGCAGUGAAAUGCGUAGAGAUGUGGAGGAACACCGAUGGCGAAGGCAGCCCCCUGGGUCAAGACUGACGCUCAUGCACGAAAGCGUGGGGAGCAAACAGG
rnacentral:rRNA from 1 species